rnacentral:lncRNA from 1 species
GGAGAGCGUCCGCCCGUACCUGCGGCGGGCCAGGCCGUGCCUCGCGCCCCGCGGCUGCCGCUCGCCGCCUCCUUCCGCGGCGGGGCUCGGCGGUAAAAAUAGCAACAGGCGGCGGGGGCGGAGAGCGGCGGGAGCCCGGCCCGGCCCCCGCCGUGACAGGAGGGCACCCGCGGCGCGACAGCGGGCGGCUCCGCGGCGGCAUUUCUGCGGCAGCGUUUCUGCGGCGCCUCUCCGCCCGCGUGCCACGGCACAGAAAACGCGAAUCCGUCGCGGUGCCGUGACGAGCGGCAGAUGGUCGGGGCCUCCCUUCCAGUCCCGCGCACAGCCCUUGCACUCAAUUAAUUUCAAGGCUUCUUGGCAGCGAGACGACCGAUUACUUACAUCGAAUUACAGGAGGCUGCGAACUGCCGUCCUCAAUCUGACAGCUCCAGCACUUUGGCCAAGGCUCAUCCAUUCUGAAUUACCAAACAGUGAUUUUAGGAAGAUUUUUUUUAAAGCUUUUGCCUUUCAGAAAGAGACAAACAGAUGCAGAUCCUACAAGGUCCCUUCUGCUGCUUGGAAAAUCCCUGAGCAAGAACACCACAAAUACAAAUCCUCUCUUCUUCCUUGA